rnacentral:lncRNA from 1 species
NNNNNNNNNNNNNNNNNNNNNNNNNNNNNNNNNNNNNNNNNNNNNNNNNNNNGCCUCUUGCGUCAGCCCCGCUGUGCCCCGCUGAUAAUGCGGCUCCGGUCCCCGCCCCGCUCCCCCCCGCUGCCCCCCUGCUCCUGCGCAUGGCCCUCGGGGGCCAGGCAGCGCCCCGAGGCCAGGGUGAGGGGCUGGGGGGUGCCGGGCAGCCGGGUCACCCCCCCCCGGGGAGGUCUGCACCUGCUGCGGGGUGCGUGGCCAUGAGGCAGCCCAUGCCUGUUGCGUGGGUGUGCAACAGGGAGCCCACACCUCCCAUAUGGGUGUGCAAUGGGGAGCCCACACCUCCCAUAUGGGUGUGCAAUGGGGAGCCCACACCUCCUAUAGGGGUGUGCAAUGGGGAUCCCACACCUCCCAUAUGGGUGUGCAAUGGGGAGCCCAUACAUCCUGCAUGGGUGUGCAACGGGGCGCCCACACCUCCCAUAUGGGUGUGCAAUGGGGAGCCCACACCUCCCAUAUGGCUGUGCAAUGGGGAGCCCAUACAUCCUGCGUGGGUGUGCAAUGGGGAGCCCAUGCCUCCUGCAUGGGUGUGCAACGGGGCGCCCACACCUCCAACCACGAGCGCUCGUGCUCGGUACAGCCCCCACACCACCCACACCAUGUGCUCAGCACAGAGCCCCCACCACACGCCCCGUUGCACGCUGGCGAGCCCAUACCUGCCACCCCGCAGAGCUGCCGCGCCCGGCACGGAACCCGUACCUCCCGAAGGACAUCCCGUAGUGGUGCCCAAACCACCGUUCCCAACGCACACAACCCAUGCACCCAGCAUGGAGCCCGUACCUCCCGAAGGACAUCCCAUAGUGGUGCCCAAACCACAGUUCCCAAAGCACACGUCCCAUGCACGCGCAGCAAUAAUUCCUCGAGCACCCAUCCCAUGCACCCAGCAUGGCACCCAUACCUCCCAAAGGACAUUCAAAGGACAUCCCAUGCACCCAUCCUGGUGCCCACACCGUAAUUCCCAAAGCACACGCCCCAUGCACCCAAUGAGGCACCCACACCUCCUGCAGCACCCAUCCCGUGCACCCAUCACGGUGCCCCCGCAGCGCAGGUGGUGCAGGACCCAUGGACCCCCUACACCCCGCCACCCCAGUACCGAACCCUCCCGACCCUAUCCCGCACCCU